rnacentral:rRNA from 1 species
AUUGAACGCUGGCGGCAGGCCUAACACAUGCAAGUCGAGCGGAUGAAGGGAGCUUGCUCCUGGAUUCAGCGGCGGACGGGUGAGUAAUGCCUAGGAAUCUGCCUGGUAGUGGGGGAUAACGUCCGGAAACGGGCGCUAAUACCGCAUACGUCCUGAGGGAGAAAGUGGGGGAUCUUCGGACCUCACGCUAUCAGAUGAGCCUAGGUCGGAUUAGCUAGUUGGUGGGGUAAAGGCCUACCAAGGCGACGAUCCGUAACUGGUCUGAGAGGAUGAUCAGUCACACUGGAACUGAGACACGGUCCAGACUCCUACGGGAGGCAGCAGGGGGGAUAUUGGACAAUGGGCGAAAGCCUGAUCCAGCCAUGCCGCGUGUGUGAAGAAGGUCUUCGGAUUGUAAAGCACUUUAAGUUGGGAGGAAGGGCAGUAAGUUAAUACCUUGCUGUUUUGACGUUACCAACAGAAUAAGCACCGGCUAACUUCGUG